UUGAUGUUGACAGGGAGGGGCCAAGAAUUGUCACCCGUGGUGGCAAUCUCUGUUCCAAGUUGAUACCUAUCGGCUUCAAGUUUCUGAACCUCUGCAUCAAACACACUGCGGAUUUCACGAAUCGUUUUCAGAUCUUCCACAGCUUCAGGUAACAUAUAAUUAGGAUUCCAGUUUGGGUGAUCAAUCUCAUAUUUGUACAUGUCAUUGAAAUCCGAUCUCUUCAACUUCAGUGAUUCCAAAGGCUGUGAUUCAAUCCAAACUGCAUCCAUACCAUCUUCCCCGUACAGAAACUGAAUCACAUCACCUAACGAAUUCCUAACAGUCCCAUCAUACUUAACCAUGAUAUCUUCCAUAGCCUUCACCAAUCGCCUCUGAAUAUAUCCAGUCUCAGAAGUUUUCACUGCAGUGUCAAUAAGACCUUCCCUACCACCCAUGGCAUGGAAAAAGAACUCUUGAGGAGACAAUCCUCGAAGAUAUGAGUUCUCCACAAAACCACGACUCUCUGGACCAUAAUCAUCUUUGGUGAAGUGUGGAAGUGUGCGAUCCACAAAACCAAAAGGAAUUCGCUUGCCUUCAACAUUCUGCUGACCCACACAUGCAGUCAUCUGAGAAAUAUUGAUGAAACUUCCCUUAGACCCUGCAGUGACCAUAGCUUUGAGGUUGUUACUUUCUGCCAAGCUCUUCUGAGCACUGCUUCCAGCAUCAUCACGAGCCUUAUUCAACACCUGAAGGCACAAAACAUAUAUAAGGGAAUCACCAGGCUGCAGCAAGGAAAUCAAAAUUUUUAACAAACCUGGUUAACUCUGUUCUCGAACGAUUCCAUCAUUGUUCUUCCUGGCUCAGCUUCCAAUUGCUUUUCUUGUGCAGCCCUGAUAAGUUCAUUCACCUCAUUCUUAGCUUUGUUAAUAGUUUCAGAGAUCUUCGUCAUUGUAUCAUGAUCAGCAAUUGUAUCUCCAAUUCCCAUGCUAAAAGCGUUCUGCAAAAGCCAAUAAUUGACCAGCCAUUGUGUAUGUCCCAAAAAUUUCCGAGCUGCAUCUGGACCGACUUCUUCCCUGAGACCAGUAUACAUUAUAUUAAACACAUAAAUAUGAAUAAAGAAUCUUUCGGGCUUUCAGUUCAUUAUUAUAAUAUUUAUUACUCCUUGUUUCAUGUGCCAUAUCAUAUGUUUUGAUGUCACAAAUGCUAUAAUAUUCACACAGAAGAGCUACUAGAGUGGAGGAAGACUGAUAUAUGCAAAAGCUAAAUUGUUAAAGAGUACAGAAAUUUUCAAUAAGAUACUCAUGUAGUUUUAAACUUCUGAAGAAAAUUAAUCUUCUCUUCUACAAAUUCCGAUGGAGUAAGCAAAGGAACACUUUCUUGAAAUGGCAUUAGUUUUAUUGAUAUCUAUAAUGAGUGCAAGCAUGGAGAUUGAUAAAGUGUUUUGUCUGCAAAGAAACAGUACCCAUUUUUUUGUGCCAAAAGGAGAAUCUUUUUGCUAGUGAAAAGAGAGGGUAUUUCAUUGGUAACUCAAGCAAGUUCUUUUGAAAGUAUUACUUCUUCAAUCAACAUAUUGCGAGUUCUGACUCAUUUGCGAGAUCCUAGAAUAUAUAAAUAAAAGACACCAACUUCAUUUAAAGUAUUUGCAUACAUAUGCUCCCAAUCCCCAUUGCCCAUAGAGCAAUGGACCAAUUUAAUACAACAUGAAUUCUUCAGAAGAUAAAAGUGAAAGUCAUGCUUUUGCUCUUAAAUUUAAGGUUGAACGAAAAAUGUGACCCGCAAACAGCCCCAUACCUCCAUUUUACCCAACUUUCCACUUAUUACAUUUUGCUACUAGAUACUUCAGGUAUGUUACCCGCAAUCAGCCCCAAUUCAUAAUAUGGAUAAGUUGGGUGGGCGUUUAGGAGACAAUAGUUUCCUUUCAAAACCCACCAAAUGCAGAAAUGGUACUGCAAAAAUUCCAGAAAGAACGUACCAAAUAACAUGUAUGAGACUUCCACUAGAUGACCCGAGUGUUUUCUUGCAUAGGGUGCCUGAAAGUAACUCCCCUUUUUCUAUCCGUACUUGAGUAUCCCCAGGAGUAAUAAAUCCUUUUUCAGUUUCUUGAUGCCAUGAAGAAUACCUUAAUAGAUUUAUCUGUCUUGGAAUGAUUAAAUUAAAUACUUGUUUCCCAGUCCAAAGAGGCUUAGGUUUCAGAAUUGUUGGAGCAGGUACUUUGCCAUCAAAAUCCUCCCACCACAUAAGGAUGUUCAUAAAAACAUCCUGCGAACAAUACAGACAGCGAUAUCAGAUUGAAUGUGGACACUUACCUAAAAAUUACAUAAUGAUGACAGAAAAUCAAAUGUUACCUUGUCAAUAAAAGUAUCUCUCUUAGUGAUUUUGCGACAUCCUAGUAGUGUAUCCUGCACAAUACCCAUUACAGGUCGAUUUGAUUGAGGUGACACGAUGCAUUUUGGAACCAUCAUUAAUUCCAGAACUUCGGCUCUAGUUUCAAAUGACUGGGGCACGUGCAUAUUCAUUUCAUCUCCAUCAAAAUCAGCAUUGUAGGGUGAGGUAACAGACAGAUUUAAGCGGAAUGUUGAAUAUGGCAUAAUCUUGAUUCUGUGGCCCAUAAUGGACAUCUUAUGGAGACUCGGUUGCCGAUUGAACAGGACAAAGUCUCCAUCAUUUAAAUGUCUCUCAACCUGUACCAUCAAAUAAUAGGAAUCAGGUGUCAAAAGGAAUCCAAUGCUUGAUCAUUCUCAAUUAUAUAGCUGGGAGUCUCACCUUAUAUCCAAGUUCUAGAUGCUGAUCACUACUCUUUUUCAAGUACCGGAGAUCAAGCCUCUGUCCAUCAUCCCUAAUAAUAUAUUUUGCGCCAGUUUUACCAGGAGGGGGAUGAGGUCCAUAUUCCACAAGCUCUUUCAAUCUAUUUUCAAGGUCAAUAUCUGGUUAACAAGAAUAACCAAAAAGUAUAGAGGGAUCACUAUCAAGAAAUAUGGUAAGAGUGCCUAACCUUUCGAUGUUAUAUGGAGUUACAGUUUCAGGAUAUGUAAGAUUUAAGGCAAUACUCCAAGGCACACCCAGCUGGUCGAUGUUGAUUGUUGGGUCAGGUGUAAUCACAGUCCGAGCCGAAAAAUCUACUCGCUUACCCAUCAAGUUACCUCUGAUCCUACCAUCUUUUGCCUUAAGCCUGCUACAUAUUGAUUUAAUGGGUCUGCCAGAUCUUUGGGUAGCCUGAUGUAUACAAGGAUACUUCACUUGUUAGAUAAAUGAUGUUCCAGGAACUGCAUCCACAGUCUCAAUAUACUGAAAUAAUAUAACAUACUCUUGGUUGACCAGGUAAAUCGUUAUCAAAGUAUGUAGCCACAUGGAACUGCAGCAACUGUGCAAACUCAGAGAUGAUGUGUGCAGGAGCCCCAUUCCGCUCCUGCCUCUUUAAGUUCUCAUUAUGCCUAAUGAUCAUGGCCAGUUGAUGAGUUAAAUCAUCCUGCAUAAAUUGAUUCAAUUAUUAGAUUCUCCUGCAACUUAAAAGCAGCAAUCCGAGGAACAUGCAAUUGAUUGACUUGAUCAGUUUGCAGUGAACAGAACCCGAUACACUUAUCUGACCUAAAGGAACAAUUAGGGGUAAUCUAAACACCCAUGACAUUGUAGAGAUCAAAAGGAGAAGUCAUGCCUCACUCCGAGAAGAAGUAUCCAUCAUUACAGAAGGCCUAACUGGAGGAGGAGGGAUUGGAAGAACUUGAAGAAUCAUCCAGUCAGGGCGAGCAUAUUUUGGAUUCAAGCCCAACAACUGACAAUCUUCAUCAGUAAUUCUCUUCAGUAUGCUGAGCACCUGAAACAAAAAGGAAAUAGAGAUUGUUGGGAUUAGCGCAUAAAUCAAUCUAUCACAUUAUCCAGGCUGGAAAAAAAAGUUUGAAUCCCUAUUCUCUGGCAAUUUAUGAUAUAUGAUACCUUCUCUGCAGAGAGAAGUUGUUUUCGUUCAACAGGUUCAGGCAUCUGGUCCUGGUCAUCACUUUUCUUCUUCUGAAUCUUGUAUUCAGCAACCAUUUUCAUCCCAUCUAUAGAAAUCUUUGGCUGCUGAGCACCGCAUCCACCCCUAGACUUCUUCACAGGUUCUUCCGAAUCUUGACCUCGCACAUCGAUCUCAUCACCUCCUUCACAUUUGGAUUUGUUUUUGCAGGCAUCUAAUAUCUUCUUUAAUCUAUUCUUAGGGUUUCUAAUUCUCAUUGCUUGCUUGAACUUGGGAUCGUCCUAGAAAAAUUAACAAGGGAUCAAAAUACAUUGCAAAAGAAAACGAUUGUUCCAACUUCCAAGUAACUUUAUUUCCAUUUGAAGUAUAAUAUUCAGGCAAUAAUGAAAAUAACUAACUUUUACAACAGCAACACUCCUAGGAGAUGCAUCCAGAUGAUGAAAUACCUCAAACUGCUUCUAUCUUACCAAUAUGCAUUUCUAUAAAAGUAACACAAUUAUUGAAGACAUAACAGAACCUAGAAGCCUAAAACUGGAUCGUUGCUAGUCAUAAGUCUUACUAUCCAGUCACUCUUGCAAGUAAUAAGAAUGUUACAAUUAAAUCAGUUGCCCAGUUCAGGAUGGUCAUGAAUAAGACAGAAGUCUGACCCUCCUAGUAUACGAACAUAUACAUGAAAUAAGCAUUUUCCGUGAAUCCAGCAUAUGUUAUACACUUCUGAAAAAUUCAGUCUGCUACUCAGGCCUCACAACAGCGGAAUCAAUAGUCAUACCCAAUAUGAACCAAGUGAGCAUGACUGUACAAAUUCAUACUACUUAAACCGAAAACGUCCAUAACUUCAAUCUAACUACUCGGGAAAUGUACAAUACCUCAUCCGCUAAAAUCUUAGAGCAAUUGAAGCAGACACUGCGGAGAAUACUGAGCACAGUCUUCAUGAAGCCAAUGUGAAACAUAGGUUUGGCGAGCUCAAGGUGACCGAAGUGACCGGGGCAGUCAGCCAUGUUCGCCAUACAAGUCUCGCACUUCAUCUUCCGAUCAAUCGUCCCCAGACGCGGGUCGCUCAAACCACCGAUCUUCGGCUUGCCUCUUUCCGUCGUCUCGCUGUGCUCUAUAUGCACAACAGACAUUUGUCUCUACAAAACACACCAUAAAACAAUAGACCAUCAUUUCCAACUCAAUCACACACUCAAUGCCGAAACUGAAAGUUCAAAACAUUCAAAGAAGUGAGAAUUACGAUCUCAUCGGGGCUGAGAAUGCCGAAUUGGACGACGCGGACUUUCGCGACCUCUGCCGGCGAGAAGGGGAACCGCAGAUCCAUUGCGACACCGGAGAUUCUACCCUAGGGUUUUCGAUUAUGAUUUAUUAUGCUAGCUGAUAUAUAAUAAUUCCAAAAUUAGAAACAAAUAUGGUUUUCAAGUACUUCAAAUUAUUCGCGGUUUCUGUUAAGUAACUGAUUUUUGGGGUUUUUGAAGAAAACUUUUUUCACGCUGCGCUCUUCUCUGAAGGAGGAGAGGCGGCUUUGAGACCAAAGAAGAGAAUGAGGGGUUGAAGGGGUAUUUAAAGAGAUGGAUGGCUUCGAAGUCGGCGCUUAAUGGGGUUGUUUGGCUACACAGUUAUGAGCUGGACAUCUUCCUCUCGUUUGGUCCAUCUAUUAAAAAAUCUUCUUAAUCUAUUUUUAAACAUAAUUUCAUCAACUAUUAUCCUUAUAAUUUUCAUUUUUUGUAAGACUCAUUUUUCACUUAUCAAGUAUACAAUUAAUUUUUAUUAAAAUUCAUGUCACCCUCCUUUAUAAAGAUCUUUGAGAAAUGAAGGGAGUGUUAAUUCCAAAUAUUUGGUAAAAUAAGUACAUAAAUACUCAUUUCGUCCCAACUUUUAGUAUCAAUUUAAGAAUGACACGUGUUUUAAUAAAGUUGUUAAGUGUGUUGUGAGUGGAAUAAGGGUCUCGCAUUUUACGUGAAUGUUAAAAUAAUUAAAGUGGAGUAAGGGUCUCACCUACUUUUACUAAAAAUAAAAAUGAAUAUCAAAAUAUGGAACGGCCAAAAAAGGAAAUAUGAAUACUAAAAGUUGGGACGAAGAUAGUAGUUUACAAGCUCUACAAAUAAGUUUCUACAAUUUAUAAGCUUUUCAAACUACAAACUUUUUACCAUAAAUUACUUUUUCAUAAUUUUAUACUUCCUUCAUCCCAAUUCNCUUAUAAUUUUUCAUUUUUUUGUAAGACUCAUUUUUUCACUUAUCAAGUAUACAAUUAAUUUUUAUUAAAAUUCAUGUCACCCUCCUUUAUAAAGAUCUUUGAGAAAUGAAGGGAGUGUUAAUUCCAAAUAUUUGGUAAAAUAAGUACAUAAAUACUCAUUUCGUCCCAACUUUUAGUAUCAAUUUAAGAAUGACACGUGUUUUAAUAAAGUUGUUAAGUGUGUUGUGAGUGGAAUAAGGGUCUCGCAUUUUACGUGAAUGUUAAAAUAAUUAAAGUGGAGUAAGGGUCUCACCUACUUUUACUAAAAAUAAAAAUGAAUAUCAAAAUAUGGAACGGCCAAAAAAGGAAAUAUGAAUACUAAAAGUUGGGACGAAGAUAGUAGUUUACAAGCUCUACAAAUAAGUUUCUACAAUUUAUAAGCUUUUCAAACUACAAACUUUUUACCAUAAAUUACUUUUUCAUAAUUUUAUACUUCCUUCAUCCCAAUUCAAUAGGCCACAAGACAAGGCUUGGACAUGGAUAUUAAGAAGCGAAUAGUUUAUAAUAAAAUACGAGAGAGAAAGUAGCUUUUUUUAGAGUAAAUUUGUGAAAAAAGUAGGAGAGAGUAGAGAUAAUUUUGUGGGAUCACAAUGAUAUUUGAUGUACAUAAUGAGUUGUGCGAAGGUGUUUGUUAUAUACUAUGAUUUUUUAUUUUAGGAAGUGACCUAUUGAAUUGGAACGUCCAAAUAAGGAUUCAUGACAUAUUUAAAUGGAACUGAGGGAGUAAUAUAUUUUACAAAAAUUAUUCAAUUAUACUUUAUUACUAUUUUCAUCAUAUACACUUUAAACCACUUUGCAAAAAUUAACUCAAUCAUAUAAAUACUUUCACAACUUAUAAGCUCUUACAAAAAUACAUUUUUAAAAUUUUUGAAACAUUUUAUAAAUUGCUACAAUUAUAAAUUUCUUAAAAUAAGCUUAUCCAAACAUCCCCUUAAUUCUACAACAAAAUUUUAACAAAUGGAGUAUAAAUGAGCUAUGAUUGGUAACAUAUUUUUCCUACAAAAAUAAUAAGCGAUAGGUAACAUAACUAGCGUGGGAACUAAGAAUCAAUCUGGUCUAUUAAUUUGAUUAAAUGAUCAUGAUUGAUUUCCAUAUUGAACAAUACAUAUAUAUGAUAAUGCAUCAGUUUAUGCCAGAAAUUAUGCCAUGCUGAUAAAUAAUACUCCAUUCGUCCCAAACGAAAUGUCCUAUUUCUUUUCGGUACGGAAAUUAAGAAAUGUGUAUAAAAUAGAUUAAGUGGGUUGGUGAAAAUUAUUUAAAUAUUAAGUAUAGAGAGAGAGUGUAGUGCCAAAAAAGGAAACAUGACAUUUCGUUUGAGAUAGCCCAAAAAGGAAAACAGUACAUUUCGUUUGGAACGGAGGGAGUAUAGUGCAUACUUAUAAUAAACAACGUAGUUUUAAGUGUGGUGCCCACUUCGGGGGAGCUUGUUGGAUUUAUAAUAAACGACGUAGUUUUCAUAUAUACAAAAAAUCCUCUUCCAUUGAGAUGGUUUCUUACAUUCUUGGCUUCAGCUGCGCAUGGCUUAUCUAUGCAUGCAUUAUUUUAGUUAUAAGCAAUUUAGUAAAUAAAAUAACAAAAUGGAUGGAUUAACAUUGCCACAAAACAUGAUGACACUAUUAGUAUUUUACUUCAAAGGGGAAGAAAAAAAAACUUUAUACGAAUGAAAGAAUGCCAUGUUAAACAAUCUCUCUUAGCCAAAUUGGAAAGCUAUGAGACCAAACAAAUGGACUACAAAUUAAAAAAGAGGUUAUAAAGUGACACGGGACUUAUACGCCACGUGCGGAGUUCAGCUGCCCGACUGCCGGAGUUCAGCUGCCCGACUGCCGGCCUGGUAUGAAAAUGAUUGGGUUAGGGUAGGGUGUCCCAUGCAACAAAUCCUCAUUCCACCUUCCCUUUGUCAGUUUCAUUUACCACACUAAGCCAUGUAAACAAUACCAACACAAUCACAAAAUCAGCAAAUCUAUUCGAACUCGCUUGGCCUAUGGUGAAAGCAGGAUGGAAAAGAAAGCAAAAUAAGCAAAGGUAAAUAUACCUGCUUGGACUGGAAGGAGAAAAAGAUGGUGAUGUUGGGCUGCAAAACCACAGAAAAUAAUAUGUCAAGGUAGCAUUUGAAAGAGAGUUUCACCAGUUCAGAAUAUAUCCUAGUCUUGUCGGGGAAAUAAAACAAAAAGAGUAAUACUCUAGGGAACAAUUUAUCCAGCUUCCUCUGUGGACAAUCAAGUAUAGAAACAGAGUAAUACAUUUAACCAAGGUUAUAUUUGUUAGCAAACUUGAAGAGCAAAAAUUAAAAUAAGGCUUGCCAAAAGUUACCUGAGACUCGGAGAAUAUGGACUGUACGGACUUGAAGGUGUGAUUUUUGGACUUGUAGGUGAAUAUGCUUGUGAAGGGCUAUACCUUGCUGAAGGAUUGUAACUUGGUGAGGUCAGACUGUAAGUCGGUGAGGUGGGACUGUAUCCAGGUGAAGUUGGGCUGUAGGCAGGAGAGGUAGGGCUGUAUGAAGGUGAGGUUGGGCUGUACGAUGGAGAGGUUGGGCUGUAAGAUGGUGAGGUUGGGCUGUAAGAGGGAGACGUGGGGCUGUAAGCCGGAGAAGUUGGGUUAUAAGCAGGUGAGGUUGGGCUGUAAGAGGGAGACGUGGGGCUGUAAGCCGGAGAAGUUGGGCUAUACGCAGGUGAGGUUGGGCUGUAUGCUGGAGAAGUUGGGCUGUAGCUCGGAGAUGUAGGGCUGUAGCUCGGAGAUGUGGGGCUAUAGCUAGGAGAUGUUGGGCUGUAGGAAGGAGACGUUGGUGAAUAAGAUGGGCUUGUGGGAGAAUAGGCAGGGCUUGUAGGACUAUAUCCAGGAGAACUAGGACUAUAUGUUGGGGACGUAGGGCUGUAACCAGGGGAAGUAGGACUGUACCCAGGUGAGGUGGGGCUGUAUCCAGGAGAUGACGGGCUGUACCCUGGAGACGAUGUAGGAGAAAACGCCAUCCCGCCCACAUACGGAGAAAACUGAGCAUCUGAAACAGGAGAUAACCGAAGAUUUGGGCUCAGCAUAUAAUUUGGUGACAUCAUGCCAUCAUGAUAUGGGGUCCCUGAGAUGGGUGAACGGCCAGGAGUCAUGCCAAACUCCAGUCCACCUUCCAUAUAACUGGGCAGAGGGAUCUCCAUAGCUUGUUUUAGCAUCUCUUCAUUCAUAUACAAAGCACAAUCACCUGUGCCAAUAGGUGCAAGCUGUCCUAACAUGAUAUUCUCAGUGACACCCCUGAGGUAAUCUGUUUCUGCAUACACAGCAGCAUCAAGAAGAAUGUCCACUGUUUCUUCAAAGGAGCAUCUCAUCAUGGGGCCAGUAUCAUUGCGAUUGAUACCAUGACGGGUGAUGGCCAUCAAGUGACCACGAUAUGUCAUGGUAUCACACAAUAUAGCCAAAUGUCUAUAGUUCACGUAAGACCCAUCAAAGAUAUACAACACGCAACUCAUCAGCAAGGCUUUGCGAACUGCCUCAAUGCCAAGAACUUCAAUAACUUCAAUCAAUGAUUGCUUGUUGUCCUACUUGCAUCUACAUCUUCAUGGCAAAUUACAGCUAAAAGAUUAACACCUUCUGUGUCAGCAUCCACUCAUUCUCAGCCUUGAAGCCUUCAUUUUCAUCAAACUUAUUUACCUUGCCAUUCUUUAUGAACACCUUAUUGAUAUCUGGUAUGCCUCGAAGAGCCAUUUCUGUAAGCAUGUUACCCUCAAUCUUUUUGAGGAAGACAUCAUCCUCAGCGAUUCAUCAUCACUCCUUAGGGUCUUCUCAUUCUAAUACGAAUACGAAGGAUAAGCUUUUCAGCAUUAUCAUCAUUAAAUGCAAGAUACAUCAAAUCAAUUAAUCUUAUGGAAAAUAUCAGCCAUGUUGAGUUUCUUAUCCACCAUCAUUUCUCUGUUUAACUCUAUGCGAAGCAACCACGGAGAGAUCUGUCGGGGUCAACAUCUCAUCUGGCAUCUCAAAGUAGGACGUCACAAUUCAAUAUCUUCCUCAAUAAUAGUGCUCUUAAGAUCUGGAUCGUACCAUACCUCUGUUGCUUGUGUUACACUCCGCAAGGUUGUAUACUCCAGAGCGCACUGGACAUUUUUGGCAUUCUCCUUAGUUUUUCUUACACCAGGCUUCAAGUAUACCGAGAGAGAGGGUGUUUUAAUAUUCUUAGCAACAUUAAUAAUCUCCCUCAACCUUGGAACACCUAAAGUAACAUUCUUGGCACUCACACCAGCAUAGUGAAAUGUAUUGAGGGUCAUCUGUGUAGCAGGUUCACCAAUGGAUUGUGCAGCAACACAUCCUAUCAUUUCUCCAGCAGCAACAAGUGACUGAAGAAAACGGGAUUCUAUCUCGCCAACUACCCAGUCAAAAGCCUCACGGGUAAGUCUGUACUCCUUCAGGACCCUUUUACUUGCUAAAGCACUACGAAGCAAUAUAUUGAAGAAAAGAGUAGCAUUCUUCUGUGCUUCCAAACUCAGAUAAUCAUCACCAACAACCACCUUAAGCCUUUCUUGUAACUUAUCAACAGCUUCUACAAUCUCCAUUGGAUGCAUAUCAGACGGUCUCCGAAAAUCAACUCUAAAGGUCUUUUGUGCAUUCAAAACAAGCCUCUUGAUGUUGACAGGGAGGGGCCAAGAAUUGUCACCCGUGGUGGCAAUCUCUGUUCCAAGUUGAUACCUAUCGGCUUCAAGUUUCUGAACCUCUGCAUCAAACACACUGCGAAUUUCACGAAUCGUUUUCAGAUCUUCCACAACUUCAGGUAACAUAUAAUUAGGAUUCCAGUUUGGGUGAUCAAUCUCAUAUUUGUACAUGUCAUUGAAAUCCAAUCUCUUCAACUUCAGUGAUUCCAAAUGCUGUGAUUCAAUCCAAACUGCAUCCAUACCAUCUUCCCCGUACAGAAACU
rnacentral:lncRNA from 1 species